rnacentral:rRNA from 1 species
AACGCUAGCGCAGGCUUAACACGAUGCAAGUCGAGGGGUAACAGGGUAGCAAUACCGCUGACGACCGGCGCACGGGUGAGUAACGCGUAUGCAACCUGCCUAUAACUGUGGAAUAGCUCCCUGAAAGGGGAAUUAACACCGCAUAACACUAUUGAUUCGCAUGGAUUGGUAGUUAAAUGUAGCGAUACAGGUUAUAGAUGGGCAUGCGUGACAUUAGCUAGUUGGUGAGGUAACGGCUCACCAAGGCUACGAUGUCUAGGGGUUCUGAGAGGAAGGUCCCCCACACUGGUACUGAGACACGGACCAGACUCCUACGGGAGGCAGCAGUGAGGAAUAUUGGUCAAUGGGCGCAAGCCUGAACCAGCCAUGUCGCGUGCAGGAAGACUGCCCUAUGGGUUGUAAACUGCUUUUAUAGUAGAAGAAACACAUCUACGUGUAGAUGUCUGCCAGUAUACUAUGAAUAAGCAUCGGCUAACUCCGUG